rnacentral:rRNA from 1 species
AGGGCGUAUGGCGGAUGCCUAGGCUCACGGAGGCGAUGAAGGACGUGAUAAGCUGCGAUAAGCUUCGGGUAGGUGCAAAUAACCCUUGAUCCGGAGAUUUCCGAAUGGGACAACCUAGCCGUCUGAAGGACGGUUACUAGCACUUAAGUGUUAGAGCUAACGCAGGGAACUGAAACAUCUUAGUACCUGCAGGAAGAGAAAAUAAAUGAAUGAUUCCCCCAGUAGUGGCGAGCGAACGGGGAACAGCCCAAACCAGUGGCGUCGCAAGGCGUGGCUGGGGUUGUAGGACCGCGACAUUGUAUGCAAAUCGUGAACAGAACACUUUGGAAAAUGUGACCAUAGACGGUGAUAGUCCAGUAUGUGAAGCGAAAUGCGGCAUAGCGGUAUCCUGAGUAACGCGGGACACGAGGAAUCCUGCGCGAAUCUGCCGGGACCAUCCGGUAAGGCUAAAUACUCCCGUGAGACCGAUAGCGAACGAGUACUGUGAAGGAAAGGUGAAAAGAACCCCGAGCAGGGGAGUGAAAUAGUUCCUGAAACCAUACGCCUACAAGCGGUCGGAGCAUCGCAAGAUGUGACGGCGUGCCUUUUGCAUAAUGAUCCUACGAGUUACCGUCACUGGCGAGGUUGAGUGUCACGAGACACGUAGCCGCAGUGAAAGCGAGCCUGAACAGGGCGCACAGUCAGUGGGGGUAGACGCGAAACCAAGUGAUCUACACUUGGCCAGGAUGAAGUCCCGGUAACACGGGAUGGAGGUCCGCACCAAUAAGCGUUGAAAAGCUUCUGGAUGAGCCGAGUGUAGGAGUGAAAGGCCAAUCAAACUUGGAGAUAGCUCGUACUCCCCGAAAGGCAUUUAGGUGCCGCGUCGGAUGGUCACCGUGAGAGGUAGAGCGACCGAUAGGACAAGAGGGCUUCACCGCCUAUCGAGUCCUGACGAACUCCGAAUGCUCACGGUCUGCAGUCCGGCAGUAAGGGGGCGGGUGCUAAGGUCCGUCCCCGAGAGGAGAAGAAUCCAGACCGCCGUCUAAGGUCCCGGAGUUCUGCCUGAGUUAGUCUAACGAAGUCUGGUCCCUAUGACAGCUAGGAUGUUGGCUUGGAAGCAGCCAUUCAUUCAAAGAGUGCGUAACAGCUCACUAGUCGAGGGUCCGGGCAUGGAUAAUAAUCGGGUAUAAGGCAGACACCGAAGGCGCGGGAUAGCAUUUAAGAAAGUAUCGGUAGGGGAGCAUACUCACAGCGUCGAAUGGUGUACGUAAGUUAUCCUGGAGCGGUGAGUAAAGCAAAUGUAGGAAUAAGUAACGAUAAGGAGGGUUAGAUUCCCUCCCGCUGUAAGACCAAGGUUUCCCGGGCAAUGCCAAUCAGCCCGGGGUCAGUCGGGUCCUAAGUCUAAGCCGAACGGCGAUGGCGAUGGCAGAGACGGUUAAUAUUCCGUCACUGCCGCAUGGGGCGACGUGGAGACGGAGCAGUGAAACCACCGCGGGGCGACGGAAGUCCCCGUUGAAGAGUGUAGGCGUUGAGGAUGGCAGGCAAAUCCACCAUCCGAGCUGAACUUGACAGUACGGAGUCCUCCUCGGAGGAAUCUGAUAGUGUGGGUAAUCAUACUCCCGAGAAAAUCCGCUAAGCUUAACCCAUGCGGCACCCGUACCGCAAACGGACACACGUGGUCGGGUAGAACAUACUAAGGCGUUGAGAGAUUCAUGGUUAAGGAACUAGGCAAAUUGACCCUGUAACUUCGGGAUAAAGGGUCCUCGUGAUGAGCGAGGCGCAGAGAAUAGGUCCAGGCAACUGUUUAACAAAAACACAGGGCUGUGCAAACUCGAAAGAUGACGUAUACAGCCUGACACCUGCCCGGUGCCGGAAGGUUAAGAGGAGAUGUCACAGCAAUGGGAAGCAUUGAAUUGAAGCCCCGGUAAACGGCGGCCGUAACUAUAACGGUCCUAAGGUAGCGAAAUUCCUUGUCGGGUAAGUUCCGACCUGCACGAAUGGUGUAAUGAUCCGGACGCUGUCUCAACCAUGAGCUCAGUGAAAUUGUAGUAUCGGUGAAGAUGCCGAUUACCCGCGAUGGGACGAAAAGACCCCGUGAACCUUUACUACAGCUUAGCAUUGACCUUGGUCAUCCGAUGUGUAGGAUAGGCCGGAGGCUUCGAAGCGGGAGCGCCAGCUUUCGUGGAGCCAUCCUUGAAAUACGGCCCUUUGGCUGUCUGAGGUCUAACGCGCGAUGCGCGGACACUGCUUGGUGGGUAGUUUGACUGGGGUGGUCGCCUCCAAAAGCGUAACGGAGGCUUCCAAAGGUGCCCUCGGGUCGAUUGGUAACCGACCUCAAAGAGUGCAAUGGCAUAAGGGCGCUUGACUGGGAGGCAGACAUGCCGAGCAGGCAGGAAACUGGGGCAUAGUGAUCCGGCGGAUGUGUAUGGAAACUCCGUCGCUCAAAGGAUAAAAGGUACUCCGGGGAUAACAGGCUGAUCCCCCCCAAGAGCUCAUAUCGACGGGGUGGUUUGGCACCUCGAUGUCGGCUCGUCACAUCCUGGGGCUGGAGAAGGUCCCAAGGGUUGGGCUGUUCGCCCAUUAAAGUGGCACGCGAGCUGGGUUCAGAACGUCGUGAGACAGUUCGGUCUCUAUCUAUCGUGGGCGUGGGAGUUUUGAGUGGUGCCGUCACUAGUACGAGAGGACCGUGAUGGACAGACCUCCGGUUUACCAGUUGUGCCGCCAGGCGCACCGCUGGGUAUCUGAGUCUGGAUUGGAUAAGCGCUGAAAGCAUCUAAGUGCGAAGCCAGCCGCAAGAUGAGAACUCCAUUGAGGGUCGUCAGAGACGAUGACGUUGAUAGGAUGCAGGUGUAAAGACAGCGAUGUCAAAGCCGAGCAUUACUAAUUGCCCGAACACUUUCUUU